UGUUCUGUAGCUUAGUUGGUUAAAGCGUCGGUCUAGCGUACACAGAUUCGUGAGUUCGAGUCUCACUAGAACGC
rfam:Aedes aegypti strain Liverpool supercont1.764 genomic scaffold, whole genome shotgun sequence.